GAUGAAGAACGCAGCGAAAUGCGAUAAGUAAUGUGAAUUGCAGAAUUCAGUGAAUCAUCGAAUCUUUGAACGCACAUUGCGCCCGCCAGCAUUCUGGCGGGCAUACCUGUUCGAGCGUCAUUUCAACCCUCGAGCCCCCCCGGGGGCCUCGGUGUUGGGGGACGGCACACCAGCCGCCCCCGAAAUGCAGUGGCGACCCCGCCGCAGCCUCCCCUGCGUAGUAGCACACACCUCGCACCGGAGCGCGGAGGCGGUCACGCCGUAAAACGCCCAACUUUCUUAGAGUUGACCUCGGAUCAGGUAGGAAUACCCGCUGAACUUAAGCAUAUCAAUAAGCGGAGGA
rnacentral:misc_RNA from 1 species